UCCCUUGUUAAAAAUUAACAACCUUGCCGGAAGCAAUGUAAGCAGCACGUUUUUUUUUUAGAGGUAACUCGGUUCCAAGCAAAUCCAGAGCGAACAAAUACACCACAAGUAGCCUACAUCAUAUCCCAUUACCCUAAAAUCCAAACCGUUGGAUUACCUAUGUGCUUUUCUUUAUACCGUAGAAACAGGCUAAACCAAAACAUCAUCUUCUUCUACCUUCCUCUUCAGCCGUUUCCCUCUUUUUGGAUCUCAAAAUUUCCGUCCAGAACUCCAAAUUCCUUCUGGAUGAUGCAUUAUCCAAGAAUAUCACUACCUCUCGUUGUUCUUCACACUAUUAUCACUGCUCUCAUCAUUCCUUUGAAACUGCCAGAAGAAGAAGAAUCCCUAAUUUUAUUGUUGAUGAUGAUUCACCAGCACAAUCAUUUUUCCUCUCAGUACUCAAGUUUCACCACUUUCUUUGGUCUUCUCAUGGCCAACUCUUUUUCUGGGGAACCUUGAGCAAUUCAGGCCUUAGCAACAAGGGAGUGUGGGAACAUAUGACAGAGCAUGUUUACAGGUUGAUGUGGAACCCUGAGCAAUCAACUUUUCAGGCCUUUGCAGGGUUAUGAAUCUUAUGAUCCUGAACUCGUGCGAUUAUAACUCUCGAUAACACUAAUCAAGGGGCUGUAUGUGCAAGAAUUGGAAUCAAACUUAAUGCUGUUGCUUGUGGGCAUUGUAAAACUGGUGAAUUCGGUAGAGUUGCAGGAGAUAGGGAAAUAGAACUGCAGUCCAAAUGUGUCUACUUAUACCUCUUUGUUUAAGUUGUUCCUCUUGUAACAAAUUUAAACUGAAAAGAUUGUAAUUAAGCUUCCUAAUUAUUGAUAUCAUUAGUGAUGGGUAUGACACUCUCAGUUCUAUAUUACUUUAAAUUCUUUUCUUUUUA